UACUGAGCAGGGGGGUGGCUGGCCCCAGGUUUUCUCUGAGAGGGGAAAAAAGAGGAGUCAGAUUAAUUGACUACAACUAAGCAGUUGCUGAAUUUACUCUGGUGAGCUCUAAUGUGACAGAGCAGGAAAAAGCAGAGCUAUUUCCCAUUGCAGAAGGGAGGCUAUCAGCAUCUGCAGCCAGAACCCCAGAGGAGCAGCCUAAGGACUAUUCCCCCAGUCCACCACUUAUCCCACCAUGGCCUCCAGCUAAGACUGGAAGAGCCAGAGUGCCUCCAGGGACGACUGGAAGAGCCAGUAUUGCUAGGACAGGACUGCUGCUGAGCACUUCAUCUUGCUCCAGGUGCACCCUGUCAUUUAACCCCCACCCUCCCAGGGCUGCACCUGCACAAGAAGAGCAUGGCUGUCCCCUCAUGACUGCGGGUUUGGCCUGCCAAAUUUCUCCCCAGAUCGGCAGACAGUCCACAGCCCUAUCUAUGAAGGAUCCAACUUGCACCAAGGUGCUGCAGCUCUGAGCAGGGUGGGCACUGGCUGCAGGACUGCAGGGAAGAGGAAACAGACUUUGGUGAAACCUCUCUCUUGGGAAGAAUGAGAAGAGAGAAAAGAAGAGAAGAAUGUAGCGGUCUUACUGUCUCUACUUUUUUUGGGAAACUCUUGGGCAUAGGAGAAGAAAGCAAUAAACCUAAAUCAUUUAGGGUGCAGUUGUAACCCAUGUACAAAAAAGACCCUCAUGUUUAACCCCGUGGUGGCUGACCACCAUCACACAUUCCUUCAGGAGGGAAUGGAUCAUCCGAGAGGAAUGCGGAUGAGAGAUGAAUCAACUGCAGAUCCUUAGGAGAUGACACAACAGCAGGAAGAAAAUGUGGAAGGUGAAGAAGACAAAGACAAGGAGGAAAUGUUCUCUGGUAUCACCUCUUUUCCACUUCCUUUCUUACACCUUGCUGUUCUCCAUAUCUCUCUUAGCUCGGGAUGGGGAGAAAUGCCAAUCUGUGGUAAUGUUUUACUGAAGGAGCACUUUCCCCAUAUACACUGGGAUUUUUUACAAUAAGAAAUUAUGGACACAACAAGCCCUGCUGAAAGAGAGGUGCAGACAGCAGCAGUUCUUCCAGCUUGAAAAUGAAAACCUAAGUUUAUUUGCCAUUUUAAGCUUUUAUUUGAACUUUGCAAAAUGAGAAAUCCCAUUUUCUGUCACAGGUCAAGCAAAGCUUUAUAAAUUAUUUUUAAAUAAGCAAUGAGCUUGGACCAUUAUCUAAAGUUCACUCAUUCCACUGAUUUCAAUGAACUUUAUUUCAUGCUGUAUAACAGGCAGAGAAAAUAUGUGGGCAGCACCAGCUACAUUCCUUCAUCUUGAUUUCAUUUAAUCAUUCAUGUAAAUUCCAUGCUUCUCUUUUAAACCAUCUAAAAUGAACACCAAUCAAGGAUCAAACACUGAAGCAAUUUUAUAAGCACCACACGUAAAUUUUGUUGUAAUUUCAAGAAAUAUUUUUUUAGCAGAAUCAAACUUGGAAUACAACACACAGUACAUAAAAAGAAUCUCAAAUUUGCCAUAUUCUCUCAUUUUUGUUUGCCUGUUUGGAGGUUUUUUUGUUUGAUUGUUUUUUGGUGGUAUUUAAUUGGGUAAUCUUAAAACAGCCACAGAGAACCGCUCAGUUUCAGCACUUUGCUUAUCUUCAGAUGUGUAAGAUUUCAGAUAUUAUGUGGGCUAAUGGGAACUGUCCUAAAAUAAAAAGUCUCUGCUAGAGCAUCUUAAUCUCAAUAACCUUGUACAGAUGAUAGUCUAUAUUUUAUAUCUCAUGCAUGUGGAAUACUAUUUAAUUGUAAUGGCAUAAUCAGUAAUUACACUGGAUUUGAUACAAUAAUCCUGAUCAAGUACUGAGAAACUACGUCGUGCAUGGUAAAUUUGAUUCCUUUCUUUGCUUCUGAUGCAAAAAACCACAGUCCUGAAAAUAAGAACCUGUUCAGAUAUCAGUGCAGCAUGGUUUGUUCUCAUCAUUUAUAUUCCAAGGAAAAGAAGAAAACAGGACCAAAUCUAAUCAAAACUACAGGAAGUGUUUAGAGGCACAAAAGAUAAUAACGUAAAUUAGAACUGGAUUAGGGCCCUUAGUAAACCUAUCUAUUCAUGCCAAAAGAGGUGAUUUAAUAUUCUGUGGUUAAGAUUCUGGGUUUGUGUCUUAUCCAACAAUACUAACAAUAACACAUUGUUCUCCUACCACCAUGCUGGUGGUGUUACAGCCUCUGAUGUGAUUCAGCACAGACUUGAAGGGACAGACACUGCUAAACGUUUGGAUUUUCCUGAGCUGUCACCCAUUGCAGGCCAGCAGGAGAUACAUCACAACCAAGAUAACAAGAUAACUUUUGUCUCUAAAACAUGCAGUUUCCUGUUGA